UACAGAGGUUCCGAGCGUUGUUCGGAUUCACUGGGCGUAAAGGGCGCGUAGGCGGUGAGGUAAGUCGGAUGUGAAAUCUCCGGGCUCAACCCGGAAAUGGCAUUGGAAACUACCUUGCUAGAGGAUUUGAGGGGGGAUUGGAAUACUUGGUGUAGCAGUGAAAUGCGUAGAUAUCAAGUGGAACACCAGUGGCGAAGGCGAAUCCCUGGAGAAUACCUGACACUGAGGCACGAAAGCUAGGGGAGCAAACGGG
rnacentral:rRNA from 1 species